rnacentral:rRNA from 1 species
AUUGAACGCUGGCGGCAGGCCUAACACAUGCAAGUCGAGCGAGCGGCGGACGGGUGAGUAAUGUCUGGGAAACUGCCUGUUGGAGGGGGAUAACUACUGGAGACGGUAGCUAAUACCGCAUACCAUCAGAUGUGCCCAGAUGGGGUUAGCUGGUCGGGGGGGUAACGGCUCACCUAGGCGACGAUCCCUAGCUGGUCUGAGAGGAUGACCAGCCACACUGGAACUGAGACACGGUCCAGACUCCUACGGGAGGCAGCAUUGGGGAAUAUUGCACAAUGGGCGCAAGCCUGAUGCAGCCAUGCCGCGUGUGUGAAGAAGGCCUUCGGGUUGUAAAGCACUUUCAGCGGGGAGGCGUUACCCGCAGAAGAAGCACCGGCUAACUCCGUGCCAGCAGCCGCGGUAAUUC